rnacentral:misc_RNA from 1 species
UCGUAACAAGGUCUCCGUUGGUGAACCAGCGGAGGGAUCAUUACAGAGUUACUACUCCAAAACCCAUUGUGAACCUUACCUAUGUUCUGUUGCCUCGGCGGCGUGGUCAGCGCCCCCUCUGAAAAGAGGACGAUGCCCUCCCGCCGGCAGCACCAAACUCUUGAAUUUUACAGCGGAUUACAGUUCUGAUUUGAAAAGAAAAAACAAGUUAAAACUUUCAACAACGGAUCUCUUGGUUCUGGCAUCGAUGAAGAACGCAGCGAAAUGCGAUAAGUAAUGUGAAUUGCAGAAUUCAGUGAAUCAUCGAAUCUUUGAACGCACAUUGCGCCCGGCAGUAAUCUGCCGGGCAUGCCUGUCCGAGCGUCAUUUCAACCCUCGAACCUCCGUUUCCUCAGGGAAGCUCAGGGUCGGUGUUGGGGCGCUACGGCGAGUCUUCGCGACCCUCCGUAGGCCCUGAAAUACAGUGGCGGUCCCGCCGCGGUUGCCUUCUGCGUAGUAAGUCUCUUUUGCAAGCUCGCAUUGGGUCCCGGCGGAGGCCUGCCGUCAAACCACCUAUAACUCCAGAUGGUUUGACCUCGGAUCAGGUAGGGUUACCCGCUGAACUUAAGCAUAUCAAUAA